GACGGACGAACCUCUGGUGUGCCAGUUGUCCUGCCAAGGGCAUGGCUGGUUGGCUACGUUCGGAAAGGAUAACCGCUGAAAGCAUCUAAGCGGGAAGCCUGCUUCGAGAUGAGGACUCCCACCCCCUUUGAGGGGUUAAGGCUCCCAGUAGACGACUGGGUUGAUAGGCCAGAUCUGGAAGCCCGGUAACGGGUGGAGGUGACUGGUACUAAUAGGUCGAGGGCUUGUCCUCAGUUG
rnacentral:rRNA from 1 species